AUAUGAAUAAAGGGGAGCUUCAAACUUAACAUAUUCAAAUAUUUUCUAUAUCUUUAUUUUGACGUGAGAUCAAUCAAGAUUGUAAAUCGAAUUCGAAUUAUACGCAUUAAUCAUUUUCGAAAGAAUCAUUGAAAGAAGACGUACAAAUUGACAUAGACAGUACCAAGUUUGGCACCGUAGCUUGUUAAAGUCACUCACUGACAUAUAGAAAUCAUUUUUAAUCCUACGUUAUUAAUUCAUGUAACUCUUAUUCAAUAAUUAUAAAUUAAGGAAUUAAUCGAUCGAGAGCUAACUCCUGAGCAAAGUACCAGAUAACUAAUGGAUGAUUUUAAAUCAAGAACAUCGAGGAAUAAAAAUAACCAUUCUUCGCGUGUCUGAUUAGAGCCGUAAAAAAUGUGCCUUGGCUCUUCGUAACUAGACGUAGGCGGGCUACAAGCAAGCAUGUUUCAACCUUCGAAGAAAUUCAGGCUUGGUUGGCCAAGUUUAGCCAUGAGCAACCCCCGAUGAAAGAGUUUCGAGAGCUCGCCGACGCAUUUUGCGGCGGCAUGUCGCUGACUUGGUCUGCUCUAAACUCGUUCGACGACAACGACGACGACAAGAAGGAGGGACGCGCGUAAUAAUACUCGUAAGUGAGUACGAACUCGUUGGACGAUGCGACGAAGUAUCCUUUUAAUUCGUUACGAAUCACCAGCCGAGUGCGUUUCCUUUUUAUUUUUUUUUUUUUACAUCUAACGUCGUGUUACUCUUAAUGCCCUUCUUUUCGAGUACGAUCCAAGUAUCGAGCUUUUAUUUUUAAAACGUCGCGCGCACAUCGCUUCGUAGCACAACACGAUUUCGACAUUGUUUCUCUCUUUUUAUUUUUAUUUUUAUUUUUAUCUUUAUUGUACUAAAUAUUCCUUUUCACAAAAAGUGUUCGAUUUUACGUACUUUCGAAUUACGAUUCGAAAAUUUUAUCGUUUGGUUUAAUCGUACAACCAAUUAGUAUUUGCUAAAAUUGAUAGGACAUUUUGAAUAAAAAAAAAAUCAGAUAUUUAAGCCAGUUGACAGAUCGUUCCUACAUCACGUGAAACUUAUGUAGGUAUAGGAACGAUCUUGUCCAACCGUUAGCAUUCCGCAUCCCGACGAAUCGGAGCGAGACACGCGCUGGUCCUCGCAAACUCGCACAGUAAGCGUAACUUACAUAUGUGUGGUGCCAACGAUGCUGCUGCAUGCUAUAUGUACACUUUCCUCUGUAUUAUCUCUCCGAUAAAAUAAUUACUCGAUCGUAAGAACAAUCGAUGACAUUCUUUGGGAUAUCAAAAUUCAAUCGUUAAGUGCGUUCAUAUCGCAAAAGAAAAGUUAUCAUUUCUUCACCCGUUCUACGUUCAAUAUGUAUUAAGAAGGAAAAAAAUUAUUCAGGAAAAACAAUCAUCGAACGAUAUUCCAAUAAAGUAACUCAGGCUGAUUAUAUCGUGCAGGUAAACAUAUGGUACAGCUUAACCGCGGUUUAAACUGCACUCGUACGAAACCUCGCUCGUGAGUUGUAGGUCAGAUCCAGUCGCGCGAGCGUGUAAUUCAGACAUUAUGCUGGACGGAAUCGCUGUACAAUGCCUUCGGUUUCGUGUUACGAGGUAAAAGAAGGAAAAAGAGAGAGAGAGAAAGAGAGAGAGAAAUCCACCUUACACUAUACCUGCUAGAUGUUUCGCAAUACAUACGACUGAAUCUAAGUGGCGGAGCGUCCUCGUUGAAAGCUCUCAACUGAGGAAAACUUCAGAAGGAUCAGCGAAAGCUCUCCUCUUAAAAUCAUCGGACAAGGCUUGAACGCUCAUAUUGUCCACCUGCUAGUAGACUAAUCGAGAGCGUGGAAUUCUAUUUUCGCGAUUCACGGACAACGACGAACAAUUACUGCUAUAACUCUGAAUGUAUUCAAUCAAUCUUCCUUCUCUUUAGAUAUUUACAAUAAUAUAUAUGUAAAUCUGCAUACGUAGAUAAUUAUAAUACGUAAUAUAAUAAAAAAUGUACUUUACCGUUCGA